GAUGAACGCUGGCGGCGUGCCUAAUACAUGCAAGUCGAGCGAACGGACGAGAAGCUUGCUUCUCUGAUGUUAGCGGCGGACGGGUGAGUAACACGUGGAUAACCUACCUAUAAGACUGGGAUAACUUCGGGAAACCGUAGCUAAUACCGGAUAAUAUUUUGAACCGCAUGGUUCAAAAGUGAAAGACGGUCUUGCUGUCACUUAUAGAUGGAUCCGCGCUGCAUUAGCUAGUUGGUAAGGUAACGGCUUACCAAGGCAACGAUGCAUAGCCGACCUGAGAGGGUGAUCGGCCACACUGGAACUGAGACACGGUCCAGACUCCUACGGGAGGCAGCAGUAGGGAAUCUUCCGCAAUGGGCGAAAGCCUGACGGAGCAACGCCGCGUGAGUGAUGAAGGUCUUCGGAUCGUAAAACUCUGUUAUUAGGGAAGAACAUAUGUGUAAGUAACUGUGCACAUCUUGACGGUACCUAAUCAGAAAGCCACGGCUAACUACGUGCCAGCAGCCGCGGUAAUACGUAGGUGGCGAGCGUUAUCCGGAAUUUAUGGGCGUAACGCGCGUAGCGGUUUUUUAAGUCUGAUGUGAAAGCCCACGGCUCAACCGUGGAGGGUCAUUGGAAACUGGAAAACUUGAGUGCAGAAGAGGAAAGUGGAAUUCCAUGUGUAGCGGUGAAAUGCGCAGAGAUAUGGAGGAACACCAGUGGCGAAGGCGACUUUCUGGUCUGUAACUGACGCUGAUGUGCGAAAGCGUGGGGAUCAAACAGGAUUAGAUACCCUGGUAGUCCACGCCGUAAACGAUGAGUGCUAAGUGUUAGGGGGUUUCCGCCCCUUAGUGCUGCAGCUAACGCAUUAAGCACUCCGCCUGGGGAGUACGACCGCAAGGUUGAAACUCAAAGGAAUUGACGGGGACCCGCACAAGCGGUGGAGCAUGUGGUUUAAUUCGAAGCAACGCGAAGAACCUUACCAAAUCUUGACAUCCUUUGACAACUCUAGAGAUAGAGCCUUCCCCUUCGGGGGACAAAGUGACAGGUGGUGCAUGGUUGUCGUCAGCUCGUGUCGUGAGAUGUUGGGUUAAGUCCCGCAACGAGCGCAACCCUUAAGCUUAGUUGCCAUCAUUAAGUUGGGCACUCUAAGUUGACUGCCGGUGACAAACCGGAGGAAGGUGGGGAUGACGUCAAAUCAUCAUGCCCCUUAUGAUUUGGGCUACACACGUGCUACAAUGGACAAUACAAAGGGCAGCGAAACCGCGAGGUCAAGCAAAUCCCAUAAAGUUGUUCUCAGUUCGGAUUGUAGUCUGCAACUCGACUACAUGAAGCUGGAAUCGCUAGUAAUCGUAGAUCAGCAUGCUACGGUGAAUACGUUCCCGGGUCU
rnacentral:rRNA from 1 species